rnacentral:rRNA from 1 species
UAUGGAGGGGGCUAGCGUUGUUCGGAAUUACUGGGCGUAAAGCGCACGUAGGCGGCUUUGUAAGUUAGAGGUGAAAGCCCGGAGCUCAACUCCGGAAUUGCCUUUAAGACUGCAUCGCUAGAAUUGUGGAGAGGUGAGUGGAAUUCCGAGUGUAGAGGUGAAAUUCGUAGAUAUUCGGAAGAACACCAGUGGCGAAGGCGACUCACUGGACACAUAUUGACGCUCAUGCACGAAAGCGUGGGGAGCAAACAGG